GCUCACUGAAUAACCAAGGCGGUGAUUGUGCUGCAAGUUACUUUCCCCAAAUAUUGUCGUCUUCACCGCCUCUUUUUUUUUAAUAAAUGGCCACGUGUUUUCUCCGAAGUGCCAGGUGGAAAACUACUGGAUGAAGGGGACUGCCCCUUGUUAUAAUUUGGAUCUAAGCAUAAAUAAGAAAGUUACGUUCCAAUGGUGAGGUAACAGACUACUGACCAACAUCUACUACUUCAGGUCUUCAGGUCAGUCUAAAGCGCAGGGGACUUCGGCCCCCUCUCCCUACUAUCCUACUGGCCAAUGUACAGUCCCUUGAAAAUAAAGUGGAGGACUUAAGGGCAAGGCUGCUUUAUCAAAGGGAGCGGAGGGAAUGCUCUGUGUUCUGUUUCACAGAGACAUGGCUCACCCCCAGACUCAGCGGUCCAGCCUGAAGUGUUCUCCAUUCACCGUAUAGACUGUACGCAGGCAUCUGAGAAAGGGAGAGGAGGGGGCGUCUGCCUCAUGGUCAACUCUGCGUGGUGCUCAGAUGUGGCAGUCCUUUCCAACUCCUGCUCUCCACACCUCGAACAUCUGGCGGUGAAGUGCCGCCCCUUCUACCUUCCAAGGGAAUUCACCUCCAUCAUCCUGACCGGGUCUACAUCCCACCCCAGGCAGAUGUCCGCCUGGUACUGGAGGAGCUGCACGCCAUGGUCAACAAACACCAGACGUCUUACCCCGAGGCGUUUACCACCAUAGCUGGGGACUUCAAUAAAGCAAACCUUACGAAACCGCUCCCUAACUUCCACCAACAUGUCUCCUGCUGCACCAGAGGACCAAACACCCUCGACCACUGCUACACCACCAUCAAGAAUGCCUAUCGCUCUACCCCUCUCCCUCACUUCGGUAAAUCCGACCAUAAUGCUGCUUCUUCUUGCCUAUUGAAGAGCGAUUGAA